rnacentral:rRNA from 1 species
GACAAACGCUGGCGGCGUGCCUAAGACAUGCAAGUCGGACGGAGAGCUUCGGCUCUCAGUGGCGGACGGGUGAGGAACGCGUGGAGAACCUGCCCCGAUGUGGGGGAUACCACCCAGAAAUGGGUGUUAAGACCGCAUACGAUCCAGCGGCGGUGGCCGGUGGAGGAAAGCCGUGAGGCGCAUUGGGAGGGGUCCGCGUCGGAUUAGCUAGUUGGGGGGGUAACGGCCCACCAAGGCGACGAUCCGUAGCUGGUCUGAGAGGACGGCCAGCCACACU